rnacentral:rRNA from 1 species
GAUGAACGCUGGCGGCGUGCCUAAUACAUGCAAGUCGAGCGAACGGACGAGAAGCUUGCUUCUCUGAUGUUAGCGGCGGACGGGUGAGUAACACGUGGAUAACCUACCUAUAAGACUGGGAUAACUUCGGGAAACCGGAGCUAAUACCGGAUAAUAUUUUGAACCGCAUGGUUCAAAAGUGAAAGACGGUCUUGCUGUCACUUAUAGAUGGAUCCGCGCUGCAUUAGCUAGUUGGUAAGGUAACGGCUUACCAAGGCAACGAUGCAUAGCCGACCUGAGAGGGUGAUCGGCCACACUGGAACUGAGAAACGGUCCAAACUCCUAGGGGAGGCAGCAGUAGGGAAUCUUCCGCAAGGGGCGAAAGCCUGACGGAGCAACGCGGCGUGAGUGAUGAAGGUCUUCGGAUCGUAAAACUCUGUUAUUAGGAAAAAACAGAUGUGUAAGUAACUGUGCACAUCUUGACGGUACCUAAUCAGAAAGCCACGGCUAACUACGU